UACACCAAGAAGCCACUACACCACUGUCUCUAAGCCUCACCUCCCUUUGCUAAGCAUUGGCUCCACUCCCAACCAUACUCCACAAGCCUUUCCCCAGCCAAUCCUGUGCGCCUUCUUUUUCUGUGCCUUUGCUCAUGCAAAUGUUCCACCUGAAGUAAUCCUUCUCUUCCUACUCGCACUUCUCUACUCUGCCCCCCAACUUGAGCCUUAGUAAAUGCCAUGUCCUUUAAGAUACAUUUCUAAGCCUGCUUCUGCUGUCUUCCCUAUUCAAACCAAUGCAGUGGGCAUCACUGAACCGUGUGAGGAAUGAGAGAGGGUGGAACAAAUUCAUUGUUACCAAGAGCAGCAACUGGUGAAGAUGUCAAGGCCUACUGGGCAAGCUAGAAUGACAAGAUUGUUGAAUCAACAGAGUGGUACAAAAAAGAAUAACUGCCGGGUGCAGUGGCUCAGGCCUGUAAUCCCAGCAGUUUGGGAU